UUUAAUUUGUGUGCUUAGUUAUUUUACGCAUCAGAUACCCCUAGUUGAGUACAACAUUUAUGUGAUUUACAGAUGUUUUAUGGAUUUACCUUCGGGCGAAUGUCUUUCAUGGCAUGCUAGAGUUUACACAUACAUAUUUUAUGAAUGUCUUUCAUGGCAUGCUAGAGUUUUCAGAAAACCUACUAUGUAGUACUAUAUGAGUUUUCAAAACAAGGGGUUAGUAUGUUUAGAAAGAAAAUGGUUUUCUCAUUAUUAGUAUUAUUAUUAUAAACUUUGGUCUACUCACCCUUUUGUUUUGAGCCCCUUUCAGGAUUUAAAAUUGAGGCACACGAUCUUGGCGUCAAGGCACUCCCGUAUCAGUAGCUUUGAGCUUCUUUCUCGGUGCAUGUUUAAAUGGCUUCAUCACCCUCGGGUGUCGACCAACACGUGCCUAUCCUGGUAUUUGGAUAUUGCGGUUGUCAAUUUGGUUUCAGAGCAUACUUAGGAUCUUCUCCUACCCUAUUAGUGUGUCGGCUUUGAUGUCAUGGCUUCUGUUUGUUGAUGCCAUUCGGCACGGUUGUGCAAUUCUCAUUUUGCCUGAAUAGUCACAUCCUAUUUGAAGCAUAAGAAAUUUGUGUCGGGAUUGUGCCUCAAGUUUGGUGUAAUUGAUUGAUGGACGACUUUCAAAUCGGACUGAUACUUUACGACUUGCGUUCCCUAGCAAUGGCAGGCAGAGUCAUACCUAUAUGGAGAUUGCUCGAAACACCCGAAGUUCAUGUUGGAGAAAGUAGGAAGCACUAGUUAUAAAUGAAGUUUAGCAAGUGUCAGUUUAGGAAAACCAAAUCAAUUUUCUCGGGCUUGUUGUUUCUGCCGAGGGAAGUCGUGUGAACCCUCAGAUGAAUUCUCAAUGAUUGCAUUGUCUCUUAAUAAGUUGACGAAUGUUCCGACAACACUUAUGAAUCGAACAGAUUAAGUAUUCCACUCUUUUUUUUA